AAGCGGCCCGCCACCCCGGCGCCCGGCGAGCUCCCGUGAUGCCGCGGGGCCGGCCAAUGGAGUCGGCUCCUCCCCGCCCGCGGGCCGGGCCCCCGGGAGCGCUUGAAUGUCUUCUGCGGCCACUUCUGAGUUGGAUAUAUCUACUAAGAAGACAAGACUUACUUUCAUCAUCUGAAUCAAAUCCAAAGAGUGUCUGACAUUUCUUUUGUGCAAGAUGAGCCUCAAGUGCUUCUGCAUUACAAUGGAGUCUUGCUCUGUCUCCCAGGCUGGAGUGCAGUGGCGCAAUCUCGGCUAACUGCAACCUCCACCUCCCAAGUUCAAGUGAUUCUUCUGCCUCAGCCUCCCGAGUAGCUGAGACUACAGAAUCAUUUGACAUUAAUGGAGUCUUCAUGACAGCCAUAAUAAAAAUGCCUUGCUUCUUCCUCAGAAUUGUUAAGAACUCCACAAGAGGAGGGUUUUUGUUGUGCUUACUACUGUUUUUCUCAGACCUGAAUGCACAGCACUGUAAGGACUCAAUAAACAUCUGCAGAGUAAAAGUUCAAGAAUGAAUCACCAAGAAUACAAGUGUUAAAAGAAAAAUGGAAUGGAAAAUUUAAGUUUUAAAUACUUGAAUAUAUACUCUAAUUGGAACGUAAGUUCCAUGAUGGGUUUUUUUUACCUCUUUUGCUGGAUGUAAGAAUGGUUAAAGUAGAAUGUUCAAUAUAAUGUACCUAAUACAACAGUACUGGUUGUCUAUAAGCCUUUCUUUUAACACCGUGGUAACAAAUACAAGAUACGUUGUCUGUAUAUUUCAGUUCUAAAUGGGUGGUUAGAGACACUUAAUUCCUAAGGGGAACUCAAAGUACAUCUUCCUUUUACUUCACCGAGUGGAUCAAGGUUCCUUCCCAAUAAGUGGUAAAGAGAUCAAAUGUUAUUUCAUCUAUAGGAGAGGUCUUGAAUCUUUUGUCAUUCCCAUCUGAAUUUACUCUUCUCUCCUACACCAAGUGCCCCCACCUCAAAAAAAUAAAUAAAUUUCUGCCUCCGAGCUUGGCAACCUUAUUAUGAGAGAGAAAAUCAAGUACAGCCAAAGGAAAACUAGCAUGGGAUAGACAGCCUGCUUCAAGUCUAGCAAAGAAGAUCAUUUUUCACCAGGGCUAAGUUCUAGAAAUCUACAAGGGUUGUAGAAGGCUCUUUUCUAGCAAAUGUGGAAUAGGAACUCCAGCUAUGAACUGCUUGGGAAUAUCAUUAAAAAUUAAUUUUAAGAGUUUUCUUAUCUGCCAGUAAUAACAGGACCUUAAACAUUGCUAUCUUAGCAACCAUUAAAAACUUAUAAGCAAUAAAUAACCAAUAAGCUAUAUUUAGGGGGAGCAUAAUGGCCUAUUUUAAAUGUAGACAAAAUGUGAAGUAGUAAACUGUUUUUUUACCUGGAAUGAUCCAAGAAUAUCCUUUAAGGGCUCUUCAUAAAACUCAUCUCUUCCAAAGAACAGCAGCAACUCAAAGAAACUCCUAGAAAGAAUAAGCAAAUAACUUUCAUUGCUGGAGUUCUGCUCCAAUUACAAGAUUAUCAAAUAGUAACAGCUAUCUAAUAUCAAAUAUUUGACUUAAAAUUUUUUGAUUUAAAAAAAUUGUACUCAUCACUAGAAUUCACAUUAUAUUUUCUCUAAGACUUUAAAAGAAGUGCCUUCAAGAAGAAUACAAACAAAUAUACUUAAGUUUCAGAACUAUGGAAUGAAAUAAUUAUACUACUCAUGCCUACAAAUGACCACACUGCAGUAAAAUUUAAUGGCAUACAAAGUCACAACGAUGAUGGCUAUACAUGGAAGGAUCAUCUAAACUGAAAACAUGAAGUCCGGCUUCACCCUAAUGUAACGGGACUCCAGAGAAAAUCCAAAAUCUCAUUUUUUUUCAGGGUGAUAUAAGAGUUGAAUAAAAUUAACACAAAAACAUAAGACAAGUUAGAGAAUCACCAUAAAACUCUAGGCCAAUAUUUAUAUUAUAGCAUAUACUAAAAUUAUAUCUAAUAAAUGACAUGUGGUUCCUCACAUUAGGCUUACCUUGAUUAUCCCACUCAUAACAGGAUUGCUCAAAUUCUGUAGUUCCUCCUUUUUAAAUAAAUUAUUUGGAAAAUACUGUUACUAAAUACUUUAUGUGCUUUUAAUAAUUUAUGAGUUCAUAAAGAAAGGAACAUGAAAAAUUAUAAAAUUAUUUAUUUAGCAAUCCAAAGUAGUACAGGUAACAAAUCCCUCUAAAUCCUAUAUCUUAAUUCAUGUAGCAGAUCCUCAAGUGUGAAUACCUGAGGUUGUUUCUUUUUUAGUAAAUGGUUUUUGCUUUUAAUCAAAUCACUAAUAAAGACUAAAAUUAUAAUAUAUAAUAUAGCUAUUGUAAUAAUAAAGACUAAAAUUAUAAUAUAUAAUAUAGCUAUUGUAUAAGCUUUGAAACUCUAAGACCUAAUAUUAUACGCACUUAUAAAUAUAGCACAAUUAUCAUACCCCGUAACCUGAUGUUUUUUUAAAUCUGACUACUACAAAAUCUUAAAAUAUCAACAGACCAAAAACUUAAAACCAGUCAAAAGCAAACUGAUACACUGAGGAUUCUAUGAUGAUUUCCUUAAUUUAAAUGCUUCUACAAGUUAGGUUAAAAAAAAAAGUCAAUAACCCAGGGGAAAACUGCAAGAGAAUAUUUCACAGGAAAGAAAUGCGAGUGGAUUUUUUUUUCAAAUAGGAAAACAAGCUCUUAUUCAUUAAGCCAAAAUUAUAAAGAUGAAAUGCCCUUUCUCCUAUCAUAUUUGUGAAAAUAAAAGAGAUGGUGUGUUCUGUGAUGGCUUUCGUUUACAGAAACAGGACCUGCUAAUCUUGUUGGAGGGAAUGUAAAUGGUCCUAUACUCAUGACAAUUUAAAAUGUACACAUACCAUUUAACUCAGCAGUUCUACUUACAGAAAUUUCAUCCUCUAAAUAUACAUAGAUAAGUUCAAAAACAUAAACAAUAUAUAUUACAAAUGGUUUACAGUAGCUGUAACUGGAAAUACUCUAAAUGUAUACCAUAGGGUACUAAAUAUAUCCAUACAAUGAAAUAUAAUACAAAUAUUAGUGAGAAUAUAGCUCCAUCUAUAUGAAUAGAUUAAAAAAAUCCAAGAUAUAUUGUUCAGCAAAGACACAGAGACAUAUACUCAUUACAUUAUCUUUGUGUAAAUGGGAAUGGAGGUAAGGGGUCAGGGAAGGAGGUAACAUGUACACCAAUACAUAAAGUUUGUACACUGUCAGACUAUCUAGCGGGAUAUCCAACAAACUAGUAAAAGCAACCGACUCUGCAAAGGAUAAAUAAGAACUAGGGGUCAGGAAUGAAAGGGAUAAUUUUGUGUUAUUAAUCCUUUUGUAAUUAUUCAUUUUACUAUUAAUAAGUAUGAAACAAGCCCAACAUAAAGUACCUCUGGAAUCUUCUCUAUUCCUAUUAACAAAGCACUAAUUUACACCUAUCUCAUCUUUAAACAUCUAAAGGACCUCCACUCUUGACAUUCCGUACUUACUCAAAAUCAACCUUCAACACAGCAGUUAUUAUCUUCCUAAAACGCAGAAAUGAACCCACUGCUUACGGACUUGACAGACUGCUGUUUGGACUGUACCAUCUAAAGCACAGAAGGUAGUGUGCAUGCCCCACUACCACUUAGGAAAUAACAUGGUCCAACUCCAUGAUAAUGAUAGUAAAAAGAGAAAAACCACAAGCAAAAUGAUUGAAUAAAGGCAGAACACAUGGUUUAGCUACUUUUCCUUAUAGGAAGCUUUAAGGAAGUCAAGUAUUUAUGAAGUAAGAAAAGGCUGAAAUUACUGUAAGAAUCUAGAAUACAUGUAGAAGUAGAAACCUCUCGUUUCCAACCUGUUGGAUUUCUUGCUGACUGUAUAAAUGAUCAACUAAAUGUUUAGAGAUCAACUUGUAUAGCCCUCCUAUGGAAGAAAACUCUGUAAGGUGCAGAGUAAAUGAGUCCAAAACAGUACAAAGUAAAAGCCCAAAAUAUGAGUAACAGCCUACAAUAAGGCUGGUAAACCACUGCCCACGGCCAAAUCUGGCCCAAGGAAGGCCAGUGUUUGUACAUUAUGUGAGCUAAGAAUGGUUAGCCAUAUUUAUAUUUUUUUAAGUCAAAAGAAUCGUAUUUCGUGGCAGGUGAAAAUUACAUGAAAUUCAAUCAUCAGUGCCAAUAUAUAAGGUAUUAUUGGAACAGGGUCAUAUCCAUUUAUUGACAUACUGACUAUGGCUGCAUUUAUACCACAGUGGUAGAGUUGCGUAGUGACAACACAGGCCUAUAAUAUUUACUAUCUGGUCAUUUACAGACACAUGGUCUAGCUGUUUGGGUUUGAGUCUCAACUCCACUACUUAACUGAUUAAUAACCCUGGGCAAGUUACUUAAUACCUCAGUGCUUCAGUUUCUUUAUAGUAAUAGUAACCACCUCUUGAAAAGCACUUGGCACAAUUCCUGGCACUUAGUGCUAUAGAUAUUAGCUGCUUAAAACAUAUAGUACUACCAUUAUUAUUAACAUCACCAUCCAAAUUUUCUUCAACAAUCUUCAGAGGUUUGUUCUGCUCCACUAUGCGUAUGUCAAUUUUGUUGAAAUAUAACAGGCUAACUGUUCUUAAAUUAUGAAUAUUUUUAAAAUAUCUGAUUAAAGUCAAAAGAUUUCUUUCCAAAAAUGUAUUAUUGUAUCUAAUAUUUAUCAUUUUUCAUG